rnacentral:rRNA from 1 species
AUUGAACGCUGGCGGCAGGCCUAACACAUGCGAGUCGAGCGGAUGAAGGGAGCUUGCUCCUGGAUACAGCGGCGGACGGGUGAGUAAUGCCUAGGAAUCUGCCUGGUAGUGGGGGAUAACGUCCGGAAACGGGCGCUAAUACCGCAUACGUCCUGAGGGAGAAAGUGGGGGAUCUUCGGACCUCACGCUAUCAGAUGAGCCUAGGUCGGAUUAGCUAGUUGGUGGGGUAAAGGCCUACCAAGGCGACGAUCCGUAACUGGUCUGAGAGGAUGAUCAGUCACACUGGAACUGAGACACGGUCCAGACUCCUACGGGAGGCAGCAGUGGGGAAUAUUGGACAAUGGGCGAAAGCCUGAUCCAGCCAUGCCGCGUGUGUGAAGAAGGUCUUCGGAUUGUAAAGCACUUUAAGUUGGGAGGAAGGGCAGUAAGUUAAUACCUUGCUGUUUUGACGGUACCAACAGAAUAAGCACCGGCUAACUUCGUG